GGAGAGUUGUCCGAGUUGGUCUAAGGAGCACGACUGGAAAUCGUGUAAGCCGCAAGGCUUCGAGGGUUCGAAUCCCUUGCUCUCCGCCA
rnacentral:tRNA from 1 species